GCGUCGGUGGUUCAGUGUUAGAAUGCUUGCCUACCACGCAGGCGGCCCAGGUUCGAUUCCCAGCCGACGCA
rnacentral:tRNA from 1 species